AGAGUUUGAUCAUGGCUCAGGACGAACGCUGGCGGCACGCUUAACACAUGCAAGUCGAACGAGAGAAGAGGAGCUUGCUUUUCUGAUCUAGUGGCGGACGGGUGAGUAACACGUGAGCAAUCUGCCUUUCAGAGGGGGAUACCGAUUGGAAACGAUCGUUAAUACCGCAUAAUAUAAUUGAACCGCAUGAUUUGAUUAUCAAAGAUUUAUCGCUGAAAGAUGAGCUCGCGUCUGAUUAGCUAGUUGGUAAGGUAACGGCUUACCAAGGCGACGAUCAGUAGCCGGACUGAGAGGUUGAUCGGCCACAUUGGGACUGAGACACGGCCCAGACUCCUACGGGAGGCAGCAGUGGGGAAUAUUGCACAAUGGAGGAAACUCUGAUGCAGCGAUGCCGCGUGAGGGAAGAAGGUUUUAGGAUUGUAAACCUCCGUCUUCAGGGACGAAAAAAAGACGGUACCUGAGGAGGAAGCUCCGGCUAACUACGUGCCAGCAGCCGCGGUAAUACGUAGGGAGCGAGCGUUGUCCGGAAUUACUGGGUGUAAAGGGAGCGUAGGCGGGAUCGCAAGUCAGAUGUGAAAACUAUGGGCUUAACCCAUAAACUGCAUUUGAAACUGUGGUUCUUGAGUGAAGUAGAGGUAAGCGGAAUUCCUAGUGUAGCGGUGAAAUGCGUAGAUAUUAGGAGGAACAUCAGUGGCGAAGGCGGCUUACUGGGCUUUAACUGACGCUGAGGCUCGAAAGCGUGGGGAGCAAACAGGAUUAGAUACCCUGGUAGU
rnacentral:rRNA from 1 species